rnacentral:misc_RNA from 1 species
GAUGAAGAACGCAGUGAAAUGCGAUAAGUAAUGUGAAUUGCAGAAUUCAGUGAAUCAUCGAAUCUUUGAACGCACAUUGCGCCCGCCAGUAUUCUGGCGGGCAUGCCUGUUCGAGCGUCAUUUCAACCAUCAAGCCCCAGGCUUGUGUUGGGGACCUGCGGCUGCCGCAGGCCCUGAAAACCAGUGGCGGGCUCGCUGUCACACCGGGCGUAGUAGAUUUUAUCUCGCUCAGGGCUUGCUGCGGGUCCCGGCCGUUAAAAGCCUUUUUUUACCCAAGGUUGACCUCGGAUCAGGUAGGAAGACCCGCUGAACUUAAGCAUAUCAAUAAGCGGAGGA